GAUGAACGCUGGCGGCGUGCCUAAUACAUGCAAGUCGAACGCACAGCGAAAGGUGCUUGCACCUUUCAAGUGAGUGGCGAACGGGUGAGUAACACGUGGAUAACCUACCUCAAGGUUGGGGAUAACAUUUGGAAACAGAUGCUAAUACCGAAUAAAACUUAGUAUCGCAUGAUACCAGGUUAAAAGGCGCUACGGCGUCACCUAGAGAUGGAUCCGCGGUGCAUUAGUUAGUUGGUGGGGUAAAGGCUUACCAAGACAAUGAUGCAUAGCCGAGUUGAGAGACUGAUCGGCCACAUUGGGACUGAGACACGGCCCAAACUCCUACGGGAGGCUGCAGUAGGGAAUCUUCCACAAUGGGCGAAAGCCUGAUGGAGCAACGCCGCGUGUGUGAUGAAGGCUUUCGGGUCGUAAAGCACUGUUGUAUGGGAAGAACAGCUAGAGUAGGGAAUGACUUUAGUUUGACGGUACCAUACCAGAAAGGGACGGCUAAAUACGUGCCAGCAGCCGCGGUAAUACGUAUGUCCCGAGCGUUAUCCGGAUUUAUUGGGCGUAAAGCGAGCGCAGACGGUUAAUUAAGUCUGAUGUGAAAGCCCGGAGCUCAACUCCGGAAAGGCAUUGGAAACUGGUUAACUUGAGUGCAGUAGAGGUAAGUGGAACUCCAUGUGUAGCGGUGGAAUGCGUAGAUAUAUGGAAGAACACCAGCGGCGAAGGCGGCUUACUGGACUGUAACUGACGUUGAGGCUCGAAAGUGUGGGUAGCAAACAGGAUUAGAUACCCUGGUAGUCCACACCGUAAACGAUGAA
rnacentral:rRNA from 1 species